rnacentral:rRNA from 1 species
GAUGAACGCUGGCGGCGUGCUUAACACAUGCAAGUCGAACGGAAAGGCCCUGCUUUUGUGGGGUGCUCGAGUGGCGAACGGGUGAGUAACACGUGAGUAACCUGCCCUUGACUUUGGGAUAACUUCAGGAAACUGGGGCUAAAACCGGAUAGGAGCUCCUGCUGCAUGGUGGGGGUUGGAAAGUUUCGGCGGUUGGGGAUGGACUCGCGGCUUAUCAGCUUGUUGGUGGGGUAGUGGCUUACCAAGGCUUUGACGGGUAGCCGGCCUGAGAGGGUGACCGGCCACAUUGGGACUGAGAUACGGCCCAGACUCCUACGGGAGGCAGCAGUGGGGAAUAUUGCACAAUGGGCGGAAGCCUGAUGCAGCAACGCCGCGUGCGGGAUGACGGCCUUCGGGUUGUAAACCGCUUUCGCCUGUGGCGAAGCGUGAGUGACGGUAAUGGGUAAAGAAGCACCGGCUAACUACGUG